UACGUAGGUGGCAAGCGUUAUCCGGAUUUACUGGGCGUAAAGAGCGCGCAGGCGGUCGUUCAAGUCGCGUGUGAAAGCCCCCGGCUCAACUGGGGAGGGUCACGCGAUACUGAUCGACUCGAAGGCAGGAGAGGGUAGUGGAAUUCCCGGUGUAGUGGUGAAAUGCGUAGAUAUCGGGAGGAACACCAGUGGCGAAGGCGACUACCUGGCCUGUUCUUGACGCUGAGGCGCGAAAGCUAGGGGAGCAAACGGG
rnacentral:rRNA from 1 species